GUCCACGCCCUAAACGAUGUCGACUGGUUGUUGGGGGUUUGACACUCUCAGUAACGAAGCUAACGCGUGAAGUCGACCGCCUGGGGAGUACGGCCGCAAGGUUAAAACUCAAAGGAAUUGACGGGGACCCGCACAAGCGGUGGAUUAUGUGGAUUAAUUCGAUGCAACGCGAAAAACCUUACCUACCCUUGACAUGUCCGAGAGGCUGGAGAGAUCCAGCUGUGCCCGAAAGGGAAUCGGAACACAGGUGCUGCAUGGCUGUCGU
rnacentral:rRNA from 1 species